rnacentral:misc_RNA from 1 species
AUAUUUAAUUAUUUAUUAUUUUAGUAUGAAUUAGCGCCUCACUUCGCUCGGGCGAGCACCUAGGCAAGUGGGGGUGUGCAUUAUUUGGUUAUAAUCAAAUAAUUGAACCGAACCAAUGAAAUUCAGUUAUUUCGAUAAAAGUAAAUUCGGUUCGGUUUGGUUUUCGGUUAGUACUAAUAUAAAUUUUCAGUUUUCGAUUAUCGGUUCGUUUACCUUUG